GAAAGUAAACAAGGGCGCAUGGAGGAUGCCUAGGCUCUCGGAGGCGAAGAAGGACGUGAUAAGCUGCGAAAAGUUACGGUAAGGCGCAAAUAGCCGUAGACCCGUAAAUAUCCGAAUGGGGCAACCCGGCCAGCAAUGGUCAUACCGCCAAGCGGUAAGCCAACGCGGGGAACUGAAACAUCUAAGUACCCGCAGGAAAAGAAAAUAACAAUGAUUCCGCCAGUAGUGGCGAGCGAACGCGGAACAGCCCAAACCACCCGUGUUACGGCACGAGUGGGGUAGAAGGAUCCACGAUACGGCAAGAAAUAAGUUAGCAGAAUACGAUGGAAAUCGUAGCCAAAGACGGUGACAGCCCGGUACGCGAAAACCGACAGAAGCCCAGUGGACACCUGAGUAACCCAGGACACGAGAAAUCCGGGGCGAAUCAGCGGGGCCCAUCCCGUAAGGCUAAAUACUCCCGAGAGACCGAUAGCGAACCAGUACCGUGAGGGAAAGGUGAAAAGAACCCCGAGCAGGGGAGUGAAAUAGACCCUGAACCCGUCUGCCUACAAGCGGUCGGAGCGUCGUAAUGACGUGACGGCGUGCCUUUUGCAUAAUGAACCUACGAGUUACCUUCCCCGGCAAGGUUAAGUUCUUGAGGAACGGAGCCGAAGCGAAAGCGAGUCUGAACAGGGCGCCAAGUCGGGGGGGGUAGACGCGAAACCGAGUGAUCUACCCUUGGCCAGGUUGAAGGUUGGGUAACACCAACUGGAGGACCGGAUGGGUAAGCGUUGAAAAGCUUUCCAAUGAGCUGAGGGUAGGGGUGAAAGGCUAAUCAAACUCGGAGAUAGCUCGUACUCCCCGAAAUGCAUUUAGGUGCAGCCUCUUUAUAGUAUAUCGUGAGGUAGAGCGACUGAUUGGAUGCGAGGGCUUCACCGCCUAUCAAGUCCAGAUAAACUCCGAAUGCGCGAUAUAUAUUUACAGGGAGUGAGGGCGCGGGUGCUAAGGUCCGUGUCCGAGAGGAGAAGAAUCCAGACCACCGGCUAAGGCCCCCAAAUGAUCGUUAAGUUGAACUAACGAGGUCGGAUCGCAGAGACAGCUAGGAUGUUGGCUUGGAAGCAGCCAUUCAUUUAAAGAGUGCGUAACAGCUCACUAGUCGAGCGAUCUGGCGUGGAUAAUAAUCGGGCAUAAACGAUCUGCCGAAGCCGUGGAUGUCGCAAGACAUGGUAGGGGAGCAUUCCAUGCCGCGUCGAAGAUGAGGGAUGACCCUUGUUGGAGCGCAUGGAAAAGCAAAUGUAGGUAUGAGUAACGAUAAGGGGGGCGAGAAACCCCCCCGCCGAAAGACCAAGGUUUCCUGAUCAACGCUAAUCGGAUCAGGGUGAGUCGGGACCUAAGGCAAAGCCGAACGGCGCCGCCGAUGGAAGAAUGGGUUAAUAUUCCCAUACUGCCUCAUGGAGUGACGUGGAGACGGAGAAGUGACAGUCCUGCCGGCUGACGGAAUAGCCGGUUGAAGGGUGUAGAUAUUGAUUCCCGUAGGCAAAUCCGCGGGGAGAGUCGAACCUGAGAGUAUACGGAGCGCUUGCGCAACGUAAUAUGGACGUAACCAUGCUCCCGAGAAAAUCCGCUAAACUUAUCCAUGCGGCACCCGUACCGUAAACGGACACACGUGGUCGGGUUGAGAAUACUGAGGCGCUCGAGUGAUUCACGGUUAAGGAACUAGGCAAAUUGACCCUGUAACUUCGGGAUAAAGGGUCCUCGUCGUAAGGCGAGGCGCAGAGAAUAGGUCCAGGCAACUGUUUAACAAAAACACAUGGCUGUGCUAAAUGGAAACAUGAUGUAUACAGCCUGACACCUGCCCGGUGCCGGAAGGUUAAGAGGAGAUGUCAUCCGCGAGGAGAAGCGUUGAAUUGAAGCCCCGGUAAACGGCGGCCGUAACUAUAACGGUCCUAAGGUAGCGAAAUUCCUUGUCGGGUAAGUUCCGACCUGCACGAAUGGUGUAAUGAUCUGGACGCUGUCUCAACCGUGAGCUCAGUGAAAUUGUAGUAUCGGUGAAGAUGCCGAUUACCCGCGAUGGGACGAAAAGACCCCGUGAACCUUUACUAUAGCUUAUCAUUGAAUCUGGGCACGUGAUGUGUAGGAUAGGUCGGAGGCUUUGAAGCAGGUACGCCAGUAUUUGUGGAGCCGCUGUUGAAAUACGACCCUUUAUUUGUUUGGAUUCUAACCCGUGGAUACGGGGACAUUGAUUGGUGGGUAGUUUGACUGGGGUGGUCGCCUCCAAAAGCGUAACGGAGGCUUCUAAAGGUGCCCUCCGGCCGAUUGGUAACCGGCCUUAGAGUGUAAUGGCAUAAGGGCGCUUGACUGGGAGACUAACAAGUCGAUCAGGUAGGAAACUAGAGCAUAGUGAUCCGGUGUUUCCGUAUGGAAGGGACAUCGCUCAAAGGAUAAAAGGUACUCCGGGGAUAACAGGCUGAUCCCUCCCAAGAGCUCAUAUCGACGGAGUGGUUUGGCACCUCGAUGUCGGCUCGUCACAUCCUGGGGCUGGAGAAGGUCCCA
rnacentral:rRNA from 1 species